ACUUAAUUGAGGAGUAGGAGACUAAAAGAAUAUGAUUAGAACAAACUGAUUAAAUGGCACUGUCUUCUGCCCAGGUGAAAUAGACUGAAGUCACGCUAACUUUUCUCAGUUCACUCUUUGAAUUUCCUGGAUAAGAGUUCUGGAGAUGGCAGCUUGUUGGACACAUGGAUUUUCUUCAGAUUUGCACUUACUGCUAGCUCUGCUUUUUAUGCAGGAGAAAAGCCCAGAGUUCACUGUGUGUCAGAACAACUUUCUAACAAACAUUUAUUAAUCCAGCCUCUGCCUUUCAUUAAAUGUAGCCUUUUGCCUUCCAAAUUAAAGAACUCCAUGCCACUCCUC
rnacentral:sRNA from 1 species